rnacentral:ncRNA from 1 species
CUCCCAAGAGUUCACAUCGACGGAGUGGUUUGGCACCUCGAUGUCGGCUCAUCGCAUCCUGGGGCUGAAGUAGGUCCCAAGGGUUGGGCUGUUCGCCCAUUAAAGCGGUACGCGAGCUGGGUUCAGAACGUCGUGAGACAGUUCGGUCCCCUAUCCGGCGCGGGCGUAGGAUAUUUGAGAGGAGCUGUCCUUAGUACGAGAGGACCGGGAUGGACUGGCCGCUGGUGGAUCUGUUGCGCCUCCAGGCGCAUGGCAGAGUAGCCAAGCCGGGACGGGAUAAACGCUGAAGGCAUCUAAGCGUGAAGCCCCCCUCGAGAUGAGAUAUCCCUGGCGUUAAGCCAGUAAGACCCCUUGAAGACGACGAGGUAGAUAGGAUAGAGGUGGAAGUGCAGCAAUGCAUGGAGCUGACUAUUACUAAUCGGUCGAGGGCAUGACCAG